UAAAUAUUCCUAACAUUUGAAAAAAAAAAUCUUGACAGUUGUCCUUUAAUAAUAAGAAACAUACACAGUGUUUAGUCUAGCCUUGUCUUUAAUUAUGUUAUGAAUCCUAGCAAAGCCAGUAAAAGGACUUAAGCAAAGAUCAACUAAUCGUAAUCACAUUCUCCUUGAAACAACAUUUGCAUUGGAAAGUUUUGCAGGUAACAAAGCAUACAUUUGUCUGCUCAAGGCUCUGAACACUAUUUAUAACUUCCUGGUCUAAAUGCUGUCUCCUAAUCUGG